AGUCCUUUAACUCCUUUAAUGAUGUGCUGGCAUUGGUGGGGAGGGUGAUGGUGGGGGGAGCAUGGCUUUGAUGAGCUGAAGGCCGUUCAUGAUCCCAAAAAGUCCUUCUUGUGCCGCGAGUCACUCGCUGGCCAAAGCCCCACAACAGGAGCUGCUAUUACAGUUAGCAUUAAUGCCCGCUCAAAGGUGCGUUUGUUCCACACGGAGGCGACCUCCCCAGGAGACCAGUGAUUGGCCGUGUGUCCCUCGCUGCGGCUUAGGAUAGGCUCCGCCCCCUCUGACCUUGGCGGUUCCAUACGAGCAGUUGAAGAUGGUUGUUCAAUACUUGGAUUGUGCUGCAAUAAAGUCUGCUUUAAUGUGA